UAUCCGUAGGUGAACCUGCGGAAGGAUCAUUAUUGUAUAACCGAGGUGCGAGGGCUGUCGCUGACCCGAAAGGUCGUGCACGCCCGACUGCCCUCACACACAUCCAUCUCACCCCUAUGUGCACCUCCGCGUGGGUCCCCCUUUGGCUUGUUCGGAGGGGGGCUUACGUUUUCACACAAACUUUGUAUGAAGUGUAGAAUGUAUUUUUUGCUUUUGCGAUCACGCAAUCAAUACAACUUUCAACAACGGAUCUCUUGGCUCUC
rnacentral:misc_RNA from 1 species